AAGGCUGCGUGGGUUUCCUGGUGAGAAACUGAACAACUUUCUGAGAGGACGGGAGAUGAGCUCCGCCCACUUCAAACCCGGCAGAGGAUUAUGGACCAGAAACACAAAGACGGUGUCAGAGCAUUCGUUCAGUCCUCCUCAUCUAACGGAUCCCUAACAGCUCACUUAUUAGUGAAGAGGGACCACUGUCGUUUUGUGUCAUCAUGGACAGCGAUCCAACAAGAAUUAUACAAGGGGGUUACCCUGACAACCAGGGCCUGAAAUGUCCAGCUGUAGACGUGCCUUUGGACUGUCUCCAACGGGGGACCACCCACUUCAAACAAAUGACAAAGACACAACCAGUGAUGUCUAAUGUGAAAUAAAAAGAACUUAAAGGGAACAUUAAAAGGCGGGUAAAUGACAAUAUAUAGUACAUCAACUCUAGUGAGGAUCUUUGACACUAAUGUGUUGUAGAUUAUCCUUGGAAAGAAAGUUAUGAGGGUAAAGAAUUCAGUUGGUCACAAAGUGUAAUCUCACCACUAGAUGUCACUAAGUCCUACGCAGUGGUCCUUUAAUAGUCAGUAUUUUGUAAUAAAACAUUUUUUUUAGGAGGGACUCUUUAAAAAGGGAUUAAGGUUAAGGGAUCUUUUAGAAUUUAGCACACACAUUUAACACACCUGCAACAAAACCACAAACAAAAAGAAAAACAAAUCACCAAAACAUCUUCUUUUAAAGUGUCAGAUACAUUGCUCACCAGGAAAUAGAGGGUAUGCAUUGAUGUCACUGCCGUGCGAGGCCACGCCGCCUUGAGUUGCUAAAACAUGGUGAAAUGUGUCAGUAAAUACACUGACCAGGUCAAAUGGA